rnacentral:rRNA from 1 species
GAUGAACGCUGGCGGCGUGCCUAAUACAUGCAAGUCGAGCGAAUGGAUUAAGAGCUUGCUCUUAUGAAGUUAGCGGCGGACGGGUGAGUAACACGUGGGUAACCUGCCCAUAAGACUGGGAUAACUCCGGGAAACCGGGGCUAAUACCGGAUAACAUUUUGAACCGCAUGGUUCGAAAUUGAAAGGCGGCUUCGGCUGUCACUUAUGGAUGGACCCGCGUCGCAUUAGCUAGUUGGUGAGGUAACGGCUCACCAGGGCAACGAUGCGUAGCCGGCCUGAGAGGGUGAUCGGCCACACUGGGACUGAGACACGGCCCAGACUCCUACGGGAGGCAGCAGUAGGGAAUCCUCCGCAAUGGACGAAAGUCUGACGGAGCAACGCCGCGUGAGUGAUGAAGGCUUUCGGGUCGUAAAACUCUGUUGUUAGGGAAGAACAAGUGCUAGUUGAAUAAGCUGGCACCUUGACGGUACCUAACCAGAAAGCCACGGCUAACUACGUGCCAGCCGCCGCAGUAA